rnacentral:rRNA from 1 species
GGCCACAGCCAUAUCAACCUGAAGCCCAAGACUGGUUGCCCACUGAAGCUAAGCAGGGUUGAGCCUGGUCAGUACCUGGAUGGGAGACCUCCUGGGAAAACUAGGUUGCUGUUGGAA